rnacentral:rRNA from 1 species
CCUACGGGGGGCAGCAGUGGGGGAUAUUGCACAAUGGGGAGAACCCUGAUGCAGCGACGCCGCGUGGGUGAAGGAGCGUUUCGGCGCGUAAAGCCCUAUCGGCAGGGAAGAAGAUGACGGUACCUGACCAAGAAGCCCCGGCUAACUACGUGCCAGCAGCCGCGGUAAUACGUAGGGGGCAAGCGUUAUCCGGAUUUACUGGGUGUAAAGGGGGCGCAGACGGCAAUGCAAGCCAGGAGUGAAAGCCCGGGGCCAAACCCCGGGACUGCGCUUGGAACUGCAUGGCUGGAGUACAGGAGGGGCAGGGGGAAUUCCUGGUGUAGCGGUGAAAUGCGUAGAUAUUAGGAGGAACGCCGGUGGCGAAGGCAGACGGCUGGAGUGUAACUGACGUUGAGGCCCGAAGGCGUGGGGAGCGAACAGGAUUAGAUACCCGAGUAGUC